AAAACCAUCUUAAUAUUUAGAGAGCAAUUAAUUUUUCAGGUGCCCGUAAAUUCGCACGUUUACUCGUAUCCACGAAAAUAUUAUCCAUUUGUCGUUUAUUUUUUUUAUUUUUUCCUCAUUUAUAUGAAACUAUAAAUAACAAUAACAACAACAUAAAAGUACGUGUCACAUAUUAUAAACAAGUUAUAAAAACCUAUCCGGUGAGCGUGCUAAU